CGGCCGGCGAGGGACAUGGCGGCUCCGCGCGGCCCGACCUGGACGGUGGCUCCGAAGGACCAAAAGCCGUCGUCCCCACCUCCCUCCCUUUUCGCGCGCAACCUAAAUUUCACGUGGGCCACACGAGAAAGUGUGGGUAUCGAGAAACCAACGCGCCCGGGGCAAUGCCCUCUUAGGGUUGUCCAAAGAAGGUGCGAAAGAUUUGGAGGCAGCAAUAGGCGUGGAGGGAAUUUGAGAUGGGGGCUGCAGCCAAGGGCUUUGAGAUUUUUAUGCUGGCCUCCCCUGACCCCGCAAAAACCGACAGCGGAAGGAAGGAGGAUCUGAAGACAAAUCACAGAACCAGAGGCUCUCAGGAGAUGCCAGCUCACCCACAGUAAACGUGCACUUUUAUGGUCCUCAGCACAGCUUGGCAUGAGCUCGUGUGCCAUGCUGUGCACAAAUACAUCCAACGUAACAAGCAGCUGGCCCAUAGUGAGUGCUCAAUAAAUAUUUGAUGGAUGAUGAACGAACCUCUCAACUCAGAUCUGGUCCAGAACCCACCAGAUGGUGAUCAGUGGUCAGUCAGAGCCCAACCAUUGAAGCGGCUGAGACCCUGGAAGCAGAGACGCACUACCGGGUUAACGUAACUAUAAUGGAAAAUCCACACAGACCCAGCAUUUACAGGUGACCUCUCUUCAGGUGGAAACAGACAUUGAAAUUCAGAGAGCGUGCCCAGUGCGGUUUAAAGAAUCUUUGUUGCUAAGGUUUGAUCUUCCUGUUUUCCAAGAAGGAUUUCGGGAGCCUGCUCAUGUCUUCCAUGCAGUGCCCUUGGAGGGAGGAUGACUGAACAGAAUGAAUGCAGAACAGAUUGUGAGUCUUGUGUGACGCUUCUGGUGUUUAAAGAUGCAACGAGGACAUCAAAAUCGUCCAUGACCAUCUCAAGUCUGUCAAAUUAAAGAUGAAGGAGGAGUGGGGGGAGGGGGGAGAAGGAAAAGAGGGAAGAGGGGGAGGGGUAGGAGGAAUGAGAAGCCACAACAGCAACCAUGGGAAGUCAGGAGGGUGGCGUGGGUCGUAGAGAGGGUGUGAGGCUAUUUCAGGAUUUUAGCCCCUGGGAUGGAGCCCAAGGGACAGGGCAAGGAGAGCAGAGCUGGGCAGGAGAACGCUCAGACUCCUGAAAAAUAGGGGUGCUCAUAAAAUAGCCUAUCUUAGUCAGCUCAGGCUGCUAUCGCAAAAAUACCAUCCUUUAUAAACAACAGAAAUUUGUUCCUCACAGUUGUGGAGGCCAGAAGUCCGUCUGAUGACGGUCCUCUUCCUGCUUCACAAACGGCUGUCUGUGUGAUGUGUCCUCACUCGGUGGAAGGGGCAAGAAUGCACUCCCCUCCAGGGCUCUUUUGUAAGAGCACUAGUCUCAUGCACAAGGGCUCUGCCCUCUUGACUUAAUCAUCUCCCAGAGCCCCACCUCCAAACACCGUCACAUUAGGGGUUAGGAUUUCAGCAUAUGAAUUUGGGGGACACAGACAUUCAGUCCAGGGAAGCUAUGCUCAAGGGCCCCGAGCUGCCUCUCAAGCCCUGAUGUGGUUUCUCGGGCCCCUGUGGCUUGAUUUUCCAGGAAGCAGUGACUUCUCCUUCCACGCAAUCACUGCUUCUCUCUGCCACGUCCCAGACCAACUGGCGUGCAGAGGGAGGAGCCACCUGUCCUCUGCUCGCAGCUCUUCCUCCUGCCCCAUGGCGGGGGGGGGGAGGUGGGGGGGGGCGGUGCAGAACCCACUCAUGCUCUUGCCCCACUCCAGAUCUUCUCUUCCUGUUAGCGGCAUCGAAUCUCUCUUCUCUUAUAAAUGGUUGAAGCAAGACUUGUGGUCAUCCCAGGCAAGUAAAUACUUUGCCACUUCUUCAAGUUCACAGUCUUUAUUUUUUAAUUUUUUAAAUGAAAAUUUUCUAAUAUUAUAGAAAGAGGAACAAUAGUACAAUGAACUUCCUAAUACCCAUCACUCAGCUUCAACAAUUAUUAACAAAAUGGCCAGUGUUCAUUUCAUCCAUAUUCCCAACCAUCCCACCCUCCCAGUGGGUUCUUUUAAAGCGAUUCAUAGACAUUAUAUCAUUUUAUAUAUAAAUAUUUCAGCAAGCCCAUAGUCUUGAAAGAGUGGUUCCAGCUUGUUGAGAGUGGAGGUUGAGCACUGUGCAUGGAACGGACAGAGAAAGAGCAACCUUCAAUCCCCUUUCUGUGGUUUCUGGACAGUUCAGCUCUGGCCCGUAUUUGCAUGCUCUCCUCAGCAGGUCACGUGUUGUUUUCUGCUCAGCAUUUGAACUCCCUUUCUAAGUCUGGGCUGUCCGUCCGUGGGUGGCUCCCAGUGAAAGCAGAGUUUUAUUCCUUCUAUAGAAGCUGUAAAGCUAAAUCCUUGUUUUCCCCGAUCCCAGGGCAUGGCUGGGAGCCAAACUCAGCCGUGUGGGUGCUCUCCCCAGGGAUUUUGGUCUGGCAUGGUACACGGAAGACCUACAGGAGUAGCAGGGUGGCUGGCGCUUAGAGAGUGAGGUGCGCAGGAGUGAGACAAAGAUGGAGCAGUAGACACAGAUCAGACCAUCAAAGUCAUGUCGGCCAUGGUAAGGACUUUGGGUUUUAUUGUGACUUGGCAUUGACACCUGGUGUGAUAAAAUGCAUGUGUUUAUCAAGAUUACUGACUGCUGUGUAGAAAACAGAUUAGAAGGAGGAAGAGAGGAAGUGGAUAAAUCAGCUGGAAACCUACUGUAGCCUUCCAGGAGCGGAAAUCAUAGUAAGGUGGGCGAGGGUGGUAGCAGAGAGGCCGAGAAAAGUGGAAGAAUUUGAGAGAGAUUUUGGAGGUAGAAUUGCUGGGUCUGGGUUGCCCCAGCUUCUAAUUCCUGUCAUAGCCCCUCACGCCACAGACAGACAUCAGCGUUGAAUCCGUGAUGUUAUUGUUUGAAAUGAAACGCUUCAGUGGUAACAAUAACAGCAAAUGUAACAGUAACAACAACAACACUAACAAUAAUAGCGAUAGCUACCAUGAAUACAGCUCCUACAAUGUGCCAGCCUCUGUUCCAAACACUUUACACGUUUUAACUCACUUAAU